GUGAGUCAUCGAAUCUUUGAACGCACCUUGCGCCCUUUGGCAUUCCGAAGGGCAUGCCUGUUUGAGUGUCAUUAAAUUCUCAACCUUGCUUGCUUUUUUUGCUUGUGAGGCUUGGAUGUGAGGGCUUGCUGGCUUCCUUCAGUGGAUGGUCUGCUCCCUUCAAAUCUAUUAGUGGGUUCCUUUGUGGACUGUCACUUGGUGUGAUAAUUAUCUACGCCGCCUGACUGAAGCAAGACUUGUGGGAGCCUGCUCAUAACCGUCUCCUUUUGAGACAACAUCUUGACAAUUUGACCUCAAAUCAGGUAGGACUACCCGCUGAACUUAAGCAUAUCAAUAAGCGGAGGA
rnacentral:misc_RNA from 1 species